rnacentral:rRNA from 1 species
GAUGAACGCUAGCUACAGGCUUAACACAUGCAAGUCGAGGGGUAACGAGAGGAAAGCUUGCUUUCCUUGUCGACGACCGGCGCACGGGUGAGUAACGCGUAUCCAACCUGCCCCCAACUAAGGAAUAACCUUGCGAAAGUAAGACUAAUACCUUAUAAUUUCCUCAGAUGUCAUCUGACGAGGAAUAAAGAUUUAUCGGUUGUGGAUGGGGAUGCGUCGGAUUAGCUUGGUGGCGGGGUAACGGCCCACCAAGGCAACGAUCAGUAGGGGUUCUGAGAGGAAGGUCCCCCACAUUGGAACUGAGACACGGUCCAAACUCCUACGGGAGGCAGCAGUGAGGAAUAUUGGUCAAUGGGCGAAAGCUUGAACCAGCCAAGUAGCGUGCAGGAUGACGGCCCUAUGGGUUGUAAACUGCUUUUAUACAGGAAUAAAGUUAGCCACGUGUGGUUAUUUGUAGGUACUGUAUGAAUAAGGACCGGCUAAUUCCGUGCCAGCAGCCGCGGUAA